rnacentral:rRNA from 1 species
AGUGAACGCUGGCGGUAGGCCUAACACAUGCAAGUCGAACGGCAGCACAGGAGAGCUUGCUCUCUGGGUGGCGAGUGGCGGACGGGUGAGGAAUACAUCGGAAUCUACUUUUUCGUGGGGGAUAACGUAGGGAAACUUACGCUAAUACCGCAUACGACCUACGGGUGAAAGCAGGGGAUCUUCGGACCUUGCGCGAUUGAAUGAGCCGAUGUCGGAUUAGCUAGUUGGCGGGGUAAAGGCCCACCAAGGCGACGAUCCGUAGCUGGUCUGGGAGGAUGAUCGGCCACACUGGAACUGAGACACGAUCCAGACUCCUACGGGAGGCAGCAGUGGGGAAUAUUGGACAAUGGGCGCAAGCCUGAUCCAGCCAUACCGCGUGGGUGAAGAAGGCCUUCGGGUUGUAAAGCCCUUUUGUUGGGAAAGAAAUCCAGCUGGUUAAUACCCGGUUGGGAUGACGGUACCCAAAGAAUAAGCACCGGCUAACUUCGUGCCAGCCGCCGCAGUAA